UUCUAUGGAGGGCUGGGUUGUCUGCCUCGUGCCAGUCCUUGUCACCAAGCCCUCUAAGGAGCCCAUGGCCCACUCCAGGCACGCAUUCCAGGAGAAUGAGUAGGGUUUUGAUCAUGAAAAAGUAGGAGAAAGGACUUUCCUAGGAGUGUGGACAAAGUGAUCACAGACUGUCAGGAUUUUUUCUGUGAAUUUAGCGAACAAUCACCAUGUGUUCUUUCAAGAUCUCUGUUACAGACCACUUUCCUUGUGGAUAACAAAAAGGUUUUUGGGACUCAUCUCGUGCAAGACAUGGUGAAAGAUGCACUUCGGUCUUUUGACAGUCCUCCGGUGC